GUACUCGCUUCAGCAGCACGUAUACUAAAAUUGGAACAACACAGAGAAGAUUAGUAUGUCCCCUGUGCAAGGAUGACAUGCAAAUUCGUGAGGUGGUCCAUAUUUUU